UGCUCUUCCCAUCUAAGACAUAGUCCUCACCCCCGAGGAGUUCUUUUAGCAAGGAUGGGCAGACUAUGGUGUGAGCCAUAUGAGAGCAAGUAAAACAAAGAACAGGGGAAAAUUACAGGGCGAGAGGCAGGGUGAAGGCCUUCUGAUACCUUAGGGUCAGUGCAGUUAUUUUGUGCUGUAAUAUUGUGUUUCUUUUAGCAUGCUCAGAAUGUAAGAAGGAAAGAAACCAUAUUUUCAAAACAACAAAAAAGUCAGGAAGCCUGGUUUACAGAAGUAGAGAUGGUAAAUUAUUUAGUUACAUAUUUUUAAAGAUCACCUUGCUGAAAUGACUAAAAAUAUAGGAAAUUGUGUUUCAUUUAUUUGGUUGUCAUCAUGUAUAGAGCAGUUGCCCGUCCUUUAAAUAGUCUUCAGUCUGUAUCUAUGGACUUAGUGCCCUGAGUAACAAUUAUCUCCAUAAUAUUGGCUGUUAUCUGCUUCUUGGUGUAGUCAUUCUGUCUCCCUCGCCUUAAAGCUGCUUCAUCUAAUUUUGCUGUGGACUUGAAACCCCAGUAAGCAAACUUGAUAGAUUUGUUUAUAAUAAGAAUAAAUGAGACUCUGAAAAAAGUUUUCAAAUAAUGAAGUUUUGGGGGCGGUUUUAUUUUCAGUUUAGCUCUUCCUGGUUCACUUUUUUGUCUUUCUGGCACUCACCUGUAUUUUAACCACUUGUCUUCAUGGGGAAGAUGUUACUUUACUUAGGUUUUCUACUGAACUUUUUGUCCCUGUUCCAUAUAUCAUACAUAGUUGGCUUUGAAGUCCAACUGACUCAUAGGUUUGCCCAAUUUUAGUUUUACAUCCUCAAACAAGGUUUUGAAUCUUUCUGAGCCCAAUUUAAAAAAAAUAAAAUCGUAUUUUGCCAGGUUGGUGUAAAGAGUAAAUACGUUAAAGGCCUCGAAUGUUACCUGGCAUCAGUUUCCUUCCGUCCCAUCCUCCUUCCCCAGUCAUCCCCCGGGUUGGACGGGCUUCACACUCUGCACUUGGUGACAGACACCUUGGUAAGCAGCACCCACAGUGCAUGCCACGCUGACACGAUGUCCAGGCUUAUCCUAAGCAGUGUCAGGCUGGACUGGAAAGACCCGUCCUGCAGACACCUAUCUUUCCUGAGACACUCAGCACAACUCAGAAACAGUCCAGGGCUGAGUUACCCUGCAUAUCGGUACAGUAACUUGGCCCUGGGGAAAACCCAGAGUCCCAGACUGGUCAUAAAAUGAAACUCACUCUCUAAGUAUCCUUUAGAGUUGUGAUCCCCUAAAACAUGUUUGACUGCUACGUGGUGUUUCACUCCCUGCCCGGGGUUUACAACAGUGGAACUCAGUCAGUGGCAUCUCAGCCCUCGAGAAGAAUAAGGCCGUGGGGGCUUGUUUUCUGGGGCGGGGGGACAUAUCAGUCCCUGUGCAUACUCAAAGUUAGCAAAACACUCAGAGCAAGGAAUUUUUUAACUUAAAGUAAGUUCUACAACAUCUGUGUAAUUACAUUUUUCCACUCCCUCACAUAUUUUCUCAGUCUGUCCACCCGUGUGACUCAUUCAAUAGCAAAUUGAGUGAAAUCAGCAUUCUCUUGUAGUCAUCAAGGAAAACGGGCCAUCUCCCUGGCCUGCUGGAUUGUCUGGUGUGCCCCAGAGAAUCUCACAGCUGGGGCCUCUUCCUGCUGCUGCGUUUCCUUGUCUUUCUCUUGGGCUGGUUUCCACCCACCGUCGGGGGAACCGUCUCACCAUGGCCAGUGACGGUCAUCACUCCAGGUGGCUCUCUCCUGAAUGUGGCAUUUCUUGUAUUUAUUCAUUGUUCAUGCCUUGAGAGUCCUGAACAAGAUCCUGCCUUUUUCUUGUUUUAAAUUCAGCUGAAAUUCAUUGAGUACCUAUUUUGUGCCGUACAGGGGAAUUUUAGGCCCUAGUAUUUACAUUAUGGAUUAGAAGAAGGAGGUUCAGAAAGGUCGUAUGUUCAGAAUGACAGAAGUAGUUAAUGAGAGAAGGAACUGGAAUGAAAAUCUGCCGACUCUCAAUUCAGUUUCCUUUCCAAUUUAGCAUCCCUCCCCUUUCCUCUGGGUGUGCCAGGACAUUCAGAAACUCUGACGAUGUAAGCUGGAAAGCUUCAUUAGGCCAUGCUUGUCUGUGCCACUGGCCAUCAUCAGCCACUGGAGACUGCUGUAAGCAGUGGUGCGGCAGGUGUGCGCCAGGUAUCACUCUCUGAGUACCACUCUUUGAGUCUGUAGUGCCAGCUCCUGGCCUGUAGGAUGGAAAGAAAGCUGCUGUUUUCACUAUCAAUUUUUUUUUUAAGGACUGGUCAUAAAAGUAGAUUUAACAAUUUAAUGUAGAAAACCUCCACUCACAAAGAAGAGUGAACUUAUUAAAUGUAAAGAAGUUGGGGGGAACUCCCUGACUUCAGUUUUUUUCAGACUGUGGAUUUAACCUUUAAUCAGAAAGGUGUUACCUUGAAUGAAUAAGCUUUCCCUUUCAAGUUACAAAUCCAUAUGCCUCUGUUUAGGCAGGCCUCAGAAAUUGUUUUUUCUUUUUUUCAUUACUUCUGUAAUAACCCUAAUAAAAACAAAGGUGGUGUCCAUGAGUUGAAAAGCAGGCAAUUAUUGAUCAAUUAUAUCAUUGGAAGAGAACAUUAAAAAUAAUUCAUUUGGGAUUUUAUAACCUGUUUGAAUCUGUAUUUGAUGAAGUAGAUUACAUUAGAGACUUUAAUGUCUCACAGUGUGAACACCCAACUCAGGAAGAUAAACUAUGCACUUUCCCAAAAUUUGGAUUGAAUGUAGACCUGAGUUCAAAUUUGGACUCCGUAAUUAAAUACGUGGGUGAUGUUUGACAGGUUGCCUAGCCACUGCGCCCGUUUCAUUGCCUAUUCAAAUAAGGGUUAUGCUUGCUUUCUGCAGUUACGACUCUGGUGAAAACAUCUAUUCUGUGCCUGGUACAUGAUAGACAUUUUGAAAAAGGCAGCCAACCUCACCCCUGUUUUAAUUAGUUGAUAAAGUACAACUUCCAGAAAAGCAAACUAUUUGUCUUACUACUUGUGAGUUAGUAACUUCACCUUCCUAUACGAAGGCUUCAUAGUUGAAAACAAGGUACAUUACAUCAGAGUUUGUAUAUAACACUAACUUAGAAAAUAAAAAUAGGACAUAAAGCUCUAAUGGCAUCCUUUUAAGAUCUCCAUUGGGGAAAGUAAUUUUAACACAUUAAAAGACUUGCUGUUUUUAACAGGCAUUUUUAUUUAUCUCGUGAAUUGUAUUUUGGAAUGAU